rnacentral:rRNA from 1 species
GAUGAACGCUGACAGAAUGCUUAACACAUGCAAGUCGAUGGGGAAGUGGUGCUUGCCCCAUGGCAACCAUGGCGGACGGGUGAGUAACGCGUAAGGGACUUACCUGCAGGACUGGGAUAACAGGGGGAAACUCCUGACAAGACCGGAUAAUGUCAUGGAGCUGCAUGGCUUUAUGAUGAAAGGAGACGCCUGCGGAGAGCCUUGCGUCCUAUUAGCUAGUUGGUGAGGUAAUGGCUCACCAAGGCGAAGAUAGGUAGCCGGCCUGAGAGGGUGGACGGCCACAAGGGGACUGAGAUACGGCCCUUACUCCUACGGGAGGCAGCAGUGGGGAAUAGUGGACAAUGGGGGCAACCCCGAUCCAGCAAUUCUGUGUGCACGAAGAAGGUUUUCGGAUUGUAAAGUGCUUUCAGCAGGGAAGAAGUAAGUGACGGUACCUGCAGAAGAAGCGACGGCUAAAUACGUG